CCAUUAAUAACAUAAAGUUACAAAAUUAUACUUCUACACUAAAAUCAUCAUACUAUAAUAAUAGAGUACCAUACACCUAAUAGCAUAAAUUAUACUUAUAUAUACUAAAAUCAUUCCAUGAUAGUAGUUAAUAUCAUAUAACCUAAAAUCAUAAAUUAUAAACCAUAAAGUUACAAAUUUAUACUUGUAACCUCGAUUCCUUCUAUUUGUAUGCUUAACUUUGUCUCCUCCUUUAACAGUUAACUCAUAAGUUGGUUUCGGGAGACCAUUCUUAAAAUCACUGGGUUGAAUCAAUCCUCUCCAUAUUUCCAAACAAAUGUCUUCAGACCUUUUAAUUAUGAAAAGGGAAAAAAAGAAGAUAAACUCAGCUCAACAUAGAAGCAUAAUAAAAUUGACAACUUAGAGAAAAUAAAGCCUAGAAAUGACAACAAACAAUAUCAUAAAGCUGUCAAGAAAUUUCCAUAAUACUCAAUUGAAAUAAUCAACACAUCCACACUUUUCAAUACA
rnacentral:lncRNA from 1 species